rnacentral:rRNA from 1 species
GCGAAUGGCUCAUUAAAUCAGUUAUCGUUUAUUUGAUAGUACCUUACUACUUGGAUAAGUAAAUCUAGAGCUAAUACAUGCUAAAAACCCCGACUUCGGGAGGGGUUUAUUAGAUAAAAAACCAACGCCUUUCGGGGCUCCUUGGUGAAUCAUAAUAACUUAACGGAUCGCAUGGCCUUGCGCCGGCGACGGUUCAUUCAAAUUUCUGCCCUAUCAACUUUCGAUUGUAGGGUAUUGGCCUACAAUGGUAUCAACGGGUAACGGGGAAUUAGGGUUCGAUUCCGGAGAGGGAGCCUGAGAAACGGCUACCACAUCCAAGGAAGGCAGCAGGCGCGCAAAUUACCCAAUCCCGACACGGGGAGGUAGUGACAAUAAAUACUGAUACAGGGCUCUUUUGGGUCUUGUAAUUGGAAUGAGUACAAUUUAAAUCCCUUAACGAGGAACAAUUGGAGGGCAAGUCUGGUGCCAGCAGCCGCGGUAAUUCCAGCUCCAAUAGCGUAUAUUAAAGUUGUUGCAGUUAAAAAGCUCGUAGUUGAACCUUGGGUCUGGCUGGCCGGUCCGCCUCACCGCGUGCACUGGUCCGGCCGGACCUUUCCUUCUGGAGAACCGCAUGCCCUUCACUGGGUGUGUCGGGGAACCAGGACUUUUACUUUGAAAAAAUUAGAGUGUUCAAAGCAGGCCUUUGCUCGAAUACAUUAGCAUGGAAUAAUAGAAUAGGACGUGCGGUCCUAUUUUGUUGGUUUCUAGGACCGCCGUAAUGAUUAAUAGGGAUAGUCGGGGGCAUCAGUAUUCAAUUGUCAGAGGUGAAAUUCUUAGAUUUAUUGAAGACUAACUACUGCGAAAGCAUUUGCCAAGGAUGUUUUCAUUAAUCAGUGAACGAAAGUUAGGGGAUCGAAGACGAUCAGAUACCGUCGUAGUCUUAACCGUAAACUAUGCCGACUAGGGAUCGGGCGAUGUUAUUCUUUUGACUCGCUCGGCACCUUACGAGAAAUCAAAGUUUUUGGG